UGCCCUUAGCAUGGCGUAAAAAGGCUAGAGCAUUUUAAAAUUAAGUGAAAGCAACUCACGUAAAAAAGCGUA
rnacentral:ncRNA from 1 species